rnacentral:rRNA from 1 species
UACGGAGGGUGCAAGCGUUAUCCGGAUUCACUGGGUUUAAAGGGUGCGUAGGCGGGCAGGUAAGUCAGUGGUGAAAUCUCCAAGCUUAACUUGGAAACUGCCGUUGAUACUAUCUGUCUUGAAUACCGUGGAGGUGAGCGGAAUAUGUCAUGUAGCGGUGAAAUGCUUAGAUAUGACAUAGAACACCAAUUGCGAAGGCAGCUCGCUACACGAAUAUUGACUCUGAGGCACGAAAGCGUGGGGAUCAAACAGG